rnacentral:misc_RNA from 1 species
GUGAAUCAUCAAAUUUUUGAACGCAAAUUGCACUCUCCGGUUUUCCGGGGAAGUAUGCCUGUUUAAGGGUCUGCCUAAAAAAAAUCGACAUUGUUGCUUUGUUAUGAUGACUUUCGUCGGAGAUGGGUUAUCUUAUAUCUCGGAAUAAGCGACUUAAAAUUUUUUUUUACGAUUCUAAGAAUGUUUUUAAGAUUCUUCUUGUACGUUAAGGGUAUAGAAUGUCUUAUUAGA